CAUGUGACAUGCACAUCAUUCCUAAACACUUCUUGUAAAGAUUAAUCUAAUGUUUACACUUCCUUUAUUGCAAAUUCUGUUUCAUUUGGAAUUUCUCAUCUUCUGCCCUGUUAGUUUGCUAGACCCUGUUGGAGCCUCCUUUUUAUUAUUAAAGUUCAAUUUUUCAGAGCAGGAGAAAAACAUCUUUAAGUUACAUCUGAAUGGAAAUGAUACCAUUUUGUUUCAUGCAGGCUGUGUCAGUCACACCCAGGGAAGGAGUGUCUAGGGCAGCAUGAACAGAAAC